rnacentral:rRNA from 1 species
AUGAAGGGCUGGGGGGCCAACCUGGGCCGUGACGCCAGGGAGCGUAAGAAGGCGUUGCUCACCGCGAUCCAGGCCCUCGACUUUCGGGCUGACGCGGUGGGUCUCUCCCCGGACGAGUGGCUCUCCCGCUAUGACCUCGAAGACCAGCUCUCCGUGAUUUACACCGAUGAGGAAGCCUAUUGGCGCCUUCGGGGCGCUCAGCGUUGGGUCCUGAAGGGUGACGCGAAUACGGCUUACUUCCAGGCGAUUGCCAACGGGCGCCGUAGACGCAACACCAUUCCCUGCCUUUGGGAUGGGGUAACCCUCCUCCAGGACCCCCGGGACAUCCGCUCCCAUGUCGACGGCUUCUAUCGUUCCCUCUUCUCUCCC